rnacentral:rRNA from 1 species
UACGGGGGGGGGCAAGCGUUGUUCGGAAUUACUGGGCGUAAAGGGCGCGUAGGCGGCCUUCUAAGUCGAACGUGAAAUCCCCGGGCUCAACCCGGGAACUGCGUCCGAUACUGGAAGGCUUGAAUCCGGGAGAGGGAUGCGGAAUUCCAGGUGUAGCGGUGAAAAUGCGUAGAUAUCUGGAGGAACACCGGUGGCGAAGGCGCAUCCUGGACCGGCAUUGACGCUGAGGCGCGAAAGCCAGGGGGAGCAA